GCAGGUGAUGGAGCAUUGUGUAAUCAUCCUGGCUCCUCUAUGAACAAAAACCAAGGAGCUGGCCUUUGUCCCCCACUCUGUUCCAGCAUGUUUGCUUUCCUGUGGUUAAAGUCCCUUCUAGGCUGGGGCAGCUUACAAAUGCAAAAGAAAAUACAUACAACCUACUUGUUUGUAACUUGGGGACUGCCGGUAUUUGUAUGCAGCAUCUCAAGGUUUAUUCCAAGCUCUCCUGCUCCUCUGCAUAAGGAACCAGAAAGGUGGCACCAAAGAGGUUUCUUCCUGAUCUGCCCAAGACCAUGCGUUAUUUUUCAUGACUGUGUAGUUCAUCAUGUGACAUUGUUAUACCACAAUUGCACAGAAUUAGCCCCAUCUUUUCAUGGAGCUUCACACAAGAUCAUGCUUCUCCCAUUACUUUACUGUGCUGUCCUGCUUUUGAGUAACUUGGAAAUCAAUUUUUCCACUUGAAAUCAUUCAUUAAGAGGCUCCUGUCCCACUAUGAUUUAGUAAAUGUUUUUGAAUACAAAUA